rnacentral:tRNA from 1 species
GGCGCAGUGGCAGAGUGGUCUAAUGCGCAAGACUAGAAUACUUCUUCAAAUAAAUCUUGUUCCUUCGGGAGCGUCUGUUCGAAUCAGGCCUGCGUCG